rnacentral:rRNA from 1 species
GAUAUUUUUAUAUAUGUAAUAAAGAAUAUAAUAGUAGUACCUUUUGUAUCAGGGUUGUUUAAUUUAAGUAAGAAUUUAUCUUUCUCGAUAUUAACUGAGUUAAAUAAUAUAUAAUGUGUUGAAUAAUUAUGUAAAUUAAUUUAGUAAUGAAAAUUUUUCGUAGUUAAAGAUAUCUAGUUACUGAAAAUAAUUGCAAUGGGGAUAAGCUUUUUGUGUGCGCAUAUUAAAAUAUAAUUAUUAUAAAUUAGGCUUAAAAUUAGCCGUAUUGAUAAGUUGUUUUAAAUUUUUUAUGUAGAAGUGCUAAUAAUUGUUUAUUUAGGUGAUUUGAGUUUGUUUUAUAGUUUUAUUUAUAAUGAAUAAAUUAGUAUUUUUUUUUUUAUUAUAAAAUAUAACUCGAUAUUUGUGGAAUAGUUUAUCAAAAACAUUUUUUUGUUUAUAUAAAAUAAGGCCUGCCCGGUGUAUUAUAAACGGCUGCGGUAUUUUGACUGUGCUAAGGUAGCAUAAUAAUUUGUUUUUUAAUUGUGAACUGGAAUGAAAGGUUUUAUCUAUAAACGGUUUUAUUUAUUAAAAGAGAAAAUUUAUAUUUACGGUAAAAAUACCGUAAUUAGGUAAAGUGACGAUAAGACCCUAUAAGCUUUAUUUAUGGAGUGAUACAGCAAAUAAUUUAGUGAUUUUUUAUUUCUAUUAAUUUUACUGGGGCAGUAAUGUUAUUUAAUUUAAUAUAAUUAGAACAUAGAUAAAUGAGUGCAUGAUCUUUUUAUUUAGAUAAUUAGGAGAAGUUACUGUAGGGAUAACAGCGCAAUAAUUUUGGAGAGGCCUUAUUAAUAAAGUUGAUUGCGACCUCGAUGUUGAAUUAAAAUUUCUUUUUGCUGUAGAAGGUUAUUUAGAAGGUUUGUUCAACCUUUGAAUUUUUACAUGAUUUGAGUUCAAAUCGGUUUAAGCCAGAUUGGUUUCUAUCUUUUAUAUAUUAUUAUUUGUGUAAGUACGAAAGGGACACAUAAAGUUU